UGCCCCUGGCUCUGUGCAGACCGUGGUGGCUGCAAAGGACCUGGGUCCCAGGGACCCUGCCCUGGGGCUCACCCCACCAUCCCCCUCUCCUAGGUGCGGGCUCUUUGCCAGGAGCUGCGUGAGGAGGUCAACGAGGUGAAGUUGCAGCAGUCCCACAUGGCAGAGGACAUGCAGUACAUGCUACAGAAUUUUAACAUGGAAGAAUUCCAGAAAAUGAUGGAUGAACUCCGUAACCAGCUGUUGGAGUCUCUCAUGUCUGCCAUGAAGAACAUGAUGGGUGGACCCAGCUCCCGAGACAAGAAGUCUGGCCCCCAGCUCCUAGAGGAGGAUGACCAAGGGCUGAUUGUCAUCGGCAACGAAAGUACCUCUGGGCACAGCUGGG